rnacentral:sRNA from 1 species
CAGUUGCAUCAGAAGGCCGUGGCUAGUGAGAUCUUCAAGGGCAAGAAGGAUAAUUACCCUCAGAGUGUACCCAGGCUCUUCAUCAGCACUCGGCUUGGUGAGCCCCUGACUUUCCAGCACUCAGACCUUUCAUCAUCGUCCUGGUCCCCCGUUGCCUCCACUGACCUCCCUCCCUGCCAUCUGAGUUGCAGGUACAGAUGAGAUCAGCCCCCGAGUGCUGCAGGCCCUGGGCUCUGAGCCCAUUCAGUAUGCGGUGCCUGUUGUGAAAUAUGACCGCAAGGGCUACAAGCCUCGCUCCCGGCAGCUGCUGCUCACACCCAAUGCCGUGGUCAUCGUGGAGGAUGCCAAAGUCAAGCAGAGGAUUGAUUACGCCAACCUGACCGGUCGGCCAGGGUCCAGGGCUGCAGGGGGAGGGCCCCUGCUCUGACACUCGACCUCUGACCUUUGCCCUCUCCCCUCAGGAAUCUCUGUCAGCAGCCUGAGCGACAGUCUUUUUGUGCUUCAUGUACAGCGUGCGGACAAUAAGCAAAAGGGAGAUGUGGUGCUGCAGAGUGACCACGUGAUCGAGACGCUGACCAAGACAGCCCUCAGUGCCCACUGCGUGAACAACAUCAACAUC